UACGGAGGGUGCGAGCGUUGUCCGGAAUCACUGGGCGUAAAGGGCGCGUAGGCGGCGCGGGAAGUCAUCGGUGAAAGUUCAGGGCUCAACUCUGAAUCGGCCGGUGAUACUCUCGUGCUCGAGCACUGUAGAGGCAGGUGGAAUUCCGGGUGUAGCGGUGGAAUGCGUAGGAGAUCCGGAAGAACACCGGUGGCGAAGGCGGCCUGCUGGGCAGUAGCUGACGCUGAUGGCGCGACAGCGUGGGGAGGCAAACAGG
rnacentral:rRNA from 1 species